UACGUAGGGAGCAAGCGUUGUCCGGAAUCAUUGGGCGUAAAGAGCGCGUAGGCGGCCGUGUAAGUCCGCUCUGAAAGUCAAAGGCUCAACCUUUGAAAGCGGGUGGAUACUGCACGGCUAGAGUCCGGAAGAGGCGAGUGGGAAUUCCUGGUGUAGCGGUGGAAUGCGCAGAUAUCAGGAGGAACACCAACGGCGAAGGCAGCUCGCUGGGACGGUACUGACGCUGAGGCGCGAAAGCGUGGGGGAGCAAACAGG
rnacentral:rRNA from 1 species